GAUCAUGGCUCAGGAUGAACGCUGGCGGCGUGCCUAACACAUGCAAGUCGAGCGAUUCACUUCGGUGAAGAGCGGCGGACGGGUGAGUAACGCGUGGGUAACCUGCCUCAUACACAUGGAUAACAUACCGAAAGGUAUGCUAAUACAGGAUGAUAUAAGAGAUUCGCAUGGAUUUCUUAUCAAAGCUCCGGCGGUAUGAGAUGGACCCGCGUCUGAUUAGCUAGUUGGUAAGGUAAUGGCUUACCAAGGCGACGAUCAGUAGCCGACCUGAGAGGGUGAUCGGCCACAUUGGAACUGAGACACGGUCCAAACUCCUACGGGAGGCAGCAGUGGGGAAUAUUGCACAAUGGGCGAAAGCCUGAUGCAGCAACGCCGCGUGAGUGAUGAAGGCCCUCGGGUCGUAAAACUCUGUCCUCAAGGAAGAUAAUGACGGUACUUGAGGAGGAAGCCCCGGCUAACUACGUGCCAGCCGCCGC
rnacentral:rRNA from 1 species